rnacentral:rRNA from 1 species
GACAGAGGGUGCAAACGUUGCUCGGAUUUACUGGGCGUAAAGCGCAAGUAGGCGGUCUUGUAAGUCGGGUGUGAAACCCAGGGCUCAACCCUGGCAGUGCACACGAUACUGCGAGACUGGGGUACUGAAGAGGAGAGCGGAAUUCUCGGUGUAGAGGUGAAAUUCGUAGAUAUCGGGAGGAACACCAGUGGCGAAGGCGGCUCUCUGGGCAGAUA